rnacentral:sRNA from 1 species
GAAGAGCUAAAAUACAUGGAUGAAUGCUUUCAUUUCGCCUGAUUUCUGAGCACCUUCUGGCUGAUAAUGGCAAUAAUACCUUAGGAAAAAGGGUUCAGGUAGCUCUGCUCAUGGACAUAUACCUAUGACAAUCCAGCCACAGCUGAGGACGUGGCAAGUGCUUCUCAAGCUAAAGGAGCAACGGUCUCUAGGAGUGGCAAGCAUGCUCAGAUGAUUCCUGUUUGCAAGAAUUGUUCUCCCUUUCCCUCUCCCUCUCCUUCUCCCUCUCCUCCUACCCUCCUCUCCUUCAUGGCUGGAUAAGGAAUCAGACACAACAAAUAUGGAAAUGUGAAGCAAAAGGGAAUAAAUACAACUGUCAUCCCGGAAGGACAAUAAAAA